ensembl:snoRNA
UGGAGGACUGAGAAGGUUGAACAGCUUGUGUCGUGCUGUUAUAACUGGUUAUAACCUCCAAGAGUAACACACAAACCACAUUGU